GUAGAAUCCUUCCAGUUAAUUUUAUCCAAAAUCAGGUUUGUAGUUAUGUUGUGGAGGUUAGUGUGCUGUAUAUGUCCUGGUGACAUAGUGUUGUGGAGGGUAGUGUGCUGUAUAUGUCCUGGUGACAUAGUGUUGUGGAGGGUAGUGUGCUGUAUAUGUCCUGGUGACAUAGUGUUGUGGAGGGUAGUGUGCUGUAUAUGUCUUGGCCGAAUAAUCCAAGUUUAUCUAACUCUAAAUCUAUAUAUAUUUUUUUAAACAUGCUGAAAAAUGCAGGAGCUCACAUGCAGCUGUCUCUCUCUCCUCUCUCUCUCCGUCUCUUUCUCUCCGUCUCUGUCUCUCUCCUCUCUCUCUCUCUCCGUCUCUCUCUCUGUCUCUCUCUCUCCGUCUCUCUCUCCGUCUCUCUCCCCGUCUCUCUCCGUCUCUCUCUCUCUCUCCGUCUCUGUCUCUCUCCGUCUCUCUGUCUCUCUCCGUCUCUGUCCGUCUCUCUCUCUCUCUCUCUCCGUCUCUGUCUCUCUCCGUCUCUCUCUCUCUCCGUCUCUCUCCCUCUCUCUCCGUCUCUGUCUCCCUCCGUCUCUGUCUCUCUCUCUGUCUCUCUCUCUCUCUCUCCGUCUCUGUCUCUCUCCGUCUCUCUCUGUCUCUCUCCCUCUCUCUCCGUCUCUGUCUCUCUCCGUCUCUGUCUCUCUCCGUCUCUCUCUCUCUCUCUCUCUCUCUCCGUCUCUCUCUCCGUCUCUCUCUCUCUCCGUCUCUCUCUUUCUCGCUCUCUCUCUCUCUCCGUCUCUCUCUCCGUCUCUCUCCGUCUCUGUCUCUCUCCGUCUCUGUCUCUCUCUCUCUCUCUCUCUCUCCGUCGCUGUCUCUCUCCGUCUCUCUCCGUCUCUCUCCGUCUCUCUCUGUCUCUCUCUGUCUCUCUCUGUCUCUCUCCGUCUCUGUCUCUCUCCCUCUCUCUCUCUCCGUCUCUGUCUCUCUCUGUCUCUCUCUCUCUCUCCGUCUCUGUCUCUCUCUCUCCUCUUCUCUCUCUCUCUCUCUCCGUCUCUCUCUCUCUCUCUCCCCGUCUCUGUCUCUCUGUCCGUCUCUCUCUCUCUCUCCGUCUCUCUCUCCGUCUCUCUCCGUCUCUGUCUCUCUCCGUCUCUGUCUCUCUCUCUGUCUCUCUCUCUCUCUGUCUCUGUCUCUCUCCGUCUCUCUCUGUCUCUCUCUGUCUCUCUCCGUCUCUCUCUCUCUCCCUCUCUCUCUCUCCGUCUCUGUCUCUCUCUCUCCUCUCUCUCUCUCCGUCUCCGUCUCUGUCUCUCUCCGUCUCUCUCUCUCCGUCUCUCUCUCUCCGUCUCUGUCUCUCUGUCCGUCUCUGUCUCUCUCAGCUAUCUUCCAGAUAAUGCAAAGUGUCAGAACCUUCUCGUCGUGGGAAACAGCUUCAGCCCGUCCCUGAUACUCAGACAUCCUCCUCUCUAAACAUCAGCUGAUUCUGCAUACUGUCAAUGAAUGUCUCGCUCUCUCUCUGUCUGAUACUCAGACAUCCUCCUCUCUAUGUCAAGUUAAACAUCAGCUGAUUCUGCAUACUGUCAAUGAAUGUCUCGCUCUCUCUCUCUGUCUCUCUGUCUCUCUCCGUCUCUGUCUCUCUCCGUCUCUGUCUCUCUCUCUCUGUCUGAUACUCAGACAUCCUCCGUCUCUCUAUGUCAAGUUAAACAUCAGCUGAUUCCGCAUACUGUCAAUGAAUGUCUCGCUCUCUCUCGCUCUCCUCUUCAAACAAUGUCCAGGACUUUGUCUUUCUUAAUAUUGAUUGGUCUGUAUUGGUAAUGUUGAAACAUGAAAUGUGUUUUCUUUCUAGUUAUUGAAAUAACCAUUUUGUUUAUGGAAUGUUAAUGCCUGUUCUCCUGUUCUCUGAUCUGUACUCUGUUAGUAACACUGAUCCCAGGUCAGUUUGGUAUUGGUCCUACUGAUGGUUACUGUUGGGAUGUGGGGAGAGGAGACUGACCCUAGAGCAGGUGUAGACUGACUAGAGGGUGCUGUCCUUGUUUUGUUAUCUCACUUGUAUGAACACAUCCCUUCCAUGUCUCUCUAUCUUUAUCUAAUCCAGUCAUCGCUCUUUCAAUAUCAAUUAAAACAUUUAUUAAUUCAGUUUCCUUUAUUUGGCACAACGUAAGAAUGUACACUACCGUUCAAAAGUUUUGGGGUCACUUAGAAAUGUCCUUGUUUUUUUAAAGAAAAUCACUUUUUUUUGUCCAUUAAAAUAACAUCAAAUUGAUCAGAAAUACAGCGUAGACAUUGUUAAUGUUGUAAAUGACUAUUGUAGCUGGAAACGGCAGAUUUUUAAUGGAAUAUCUACAUAGGCGAACAGAGGCCCAUUAUCAGCAACCAUCACUCCUGUGUUCCAAUGGCACGUUGUGUUGAUCAUUAGAAAACCCUUUUGCAAUUAUGUUAGCUCAGCUGGAAACUGUUGUUCUGAUUAAAGAAGCAAUAA
rnacentral:lncRNA from 1 species